rnacentral:rRNA from 1 species
UACGUAGGGACCGAGCGUUGUCCGGAUUCAUUGGGCGUAAAGAGCUCGUAGGCGGCUGUUCAAGUCGAACGUGAAAACUCGGAGCUCAACUCCGAGCCUGCGUUCGAGACUGGAUGGCUAGAGUCUGGUAGGGGGAUCUGGAAUUCCUGGUGUAGCGGUGGAAUGCGUAGAUAUCUGGAGGAACACCGGUGGCGAAGGCGGCAUCCUGGACCAAUACUGACACUGAGGAGCGAAAGCCAGGGGAGCAAACGGG